rnacentral:lncRNA from 1 species
GAUGAUGGAGCCCCAGGAGAUGGCGUAUCCAACCGAUGACGACUGCUACCCCGAUGGUGCCUACUACUACGUGAGGCCGCUGACGACCAAGAGUAGUUUAGGAGGUUCCCAGGUAGGAGGCCUCGCCUCGUUCGAUCGCUGUAUCUUAUGUGCUAGCCUUCUCUAAGGCAUUAUCAUGUUUCAUGUCUGUACUCAGAUAUUUGUUGCUUCCGCUGGCUCGUGUGUAUAUCGAGCUUCUGUAUUCU